UACGGAGGGUGCAAGCGUUAAUCGGAAUUACUGGGCGUAAAGCGCACGCAGGCGGUUUGUUAAGACAGAUGUGAAAUCCCCGGGCUGAACCUGGGAACUGCAUUUGAAACUGGCAAGCUAGAGGCUCGUAGAGGGGGGUAGAAUUCCAGGUGUAGCGGUGAAAUGCGUAGAGAUCUGGAGGAAUACCAGUGGCGAAGGCGGCCCCCUGGACGAAGCCUGACGCUCAGGUGCGAAAGCGUGGGGAGCAAACAGG
rnacentral:rRNA from 1 species